AGCUCCAAUAGCGUAUAUUAAAGUUGUUGCAGUUAAAAAGCUCGUAGUUGGAUUUCUGGUUCAGGAAGCCUGGCCCGUGGCCAAUUCAGGUUCAUGAGUGCCGGAGUUUUCGUACCAUCCUUUCGGUGAUGUUCAGGUCCCUUUCAUUAGGUGGUCUGGGUGUUCCGGAUCUUUUACUUUGAAAAAAUUAGAGUGUUUAAAGCAAGCUGUGUGUUGAAUACAUUAGCAUGGAAUAAUAAUCUAGGACUUUGGUUCUAUUUUGUUGGUUUCUAGCACCAAAGUAAUGAUUGAUAGGGAUAGUUGGGGGUGCUAGUAUUUACCGGCCAGAGGUGAAAUUCUUGGAUUCGGUAAAGACUAACUUAUGCGAAAGCAUUCACCAAGGAUGUCUUCUUUA
rnacentral:rRNA from 1 species